GAUGAACGCUGGCGGCGUGCCUAAUACAUGCAAGUCGAGCGAAUGGAUUAAGAGCUUGCUCUUAUGAAGUUAGCGGCGGACGGGUGAGUAACAUGUGGGUAACCUGCCCAUAAGACUGGGAUAACUCCGGGAAACCGGGGCUAAUACCGGAUAACAUUUUGAACCGCAUGGUUCGACAUUGAAAGGCGGCUUCGGCUGUCACUUAUGGAUGGACCCGCGUCGCAUUAGCUAGUUGGUGAGGGAACGGCUCACCAAGGCAACGAUGCGUAGCCGACCUGAGAGGGUGAUCGGCCACACUGGGACUGAGACACGGCCCAGACUCCUACGGGAGGCAGCAGUAGGGAAUCUUCCGCAAUGGACGAAAGUCUGACGGAGCAACGCCGCGUGAGUGAUGAAGGCUUUCGGGUCGUAAAACUCUGUUGUUAGGGAAGAACAAGUGCUAGUUGAAUAAGCUGGCACCUUGACGGUACCUAACCAGAAAGCCACGGCUAACUACGUGCCAGCAGCCGCGGUAA
rnacentral:rRNA from 1 species